GUUUUGAUGAAACAUUUGCAGCUUUCAAAAGCCGAACUAAACCAAAAUCCAAAAGUACCAGUAAGAAAAUGGCUGUAGAGGAUCUGGCAUUAGUAUGCACAAAUGAACGAGAAGACAGAAGGGAGAAAGACAGUGAGAAGACAGAAGCUGCGAAUGAAAUAGAUGUUAUGCCUCCCAAAAUAGUUGCAAUGAAUAGAGUUAGAUGG
rnacentral:misc_RNA from 1 species